CCUCCCCCGCCCUGCCCCUGCCUGAGCCGUUCCAUUAUCACCGUGGGCUGGGGAGGGGGGAGGGAGAAUCGCUCUGGACUGAACCAUUGUCAUCGAAUCUCUGGGCGCCUGCGUUGCCUGUGUUACUGCGCCGAGGAAAGUUCCAUUAUCUGCGAGGGAGGGGGGAGGCUCAUUCUGGGUCAUUUCACCGCGGGUUGCAUGUGCCUGAGCUCGGGAAUGUUCCGUUAUCAUCGCGGGUGGGGGGGGGAAGGAGCGCUGGGAGGAACCUUCGCAGGAUUCUCCAGUGUUGGCAAGAUGAGGACGAUCGGAAUGGAUUAGUUCCUUCUCUCGAUAGCGACCCUUCGUUCUUUCGAGCAUCACCUUUUCGUUUUUGUUAUUAUUUUUUUUCUGGAGUACGAGUUUCGGGAGUGGUGAGGGAAGAAGUGAGCGAGAUUUUAGACCUAUUGACUAUCCCAUUCUACCGAUGGGGGCGUCAGUGGGCAGUCCUGUUAUUAUUAGGACCUUUCCAUUGCCCGAGGGGGGAGACCUUGGAAGGUCCCAUCGCAGGAGAGGGGAGAUGUUGGACGCCUCAAUAUCUCAUCCUUCUUCCUGAGCUUGUCCCACUCCCCCACUCCCCACCGGCCCCAGAUCCUGGCCUACGGCGACAUGAACCACGAAUGGGUGGGAAACGACUGGCUGCCCAGCCUGGGGCUGCCCCAGUACCGCAGCUACUUCAUGGAGUCCUUAGUAGAUGCGCGCAUGCUGGACCAUCUCAACAAGAAAGAACUUCGGGGCCAGCUCAAGAUGGUAGACAGCUUCCACAGAGUGAGCCUCCACUACGGCAUCAUGUGUUUGAAGAGGCUCAACUAUGACCGUAAAGACUUGGAACGAAGGCGGGAGGAGAGCCAGAGUCACGUGAGAGACGUGAUGGUGUGGUCCAAUGAGCGGGUGAUGGGCUGGGUGUCAGGCCUGGGGCUGAAGGAGUUCGCCGGAAACUUGUCCGAGAGCGGCGUGCACGGGGCGCUGCUGGCCCUGGACGAGACCUUCGACUGCUCGGACUUGGCGCUGCUGCUGCAGAUCCCGACGCAGAACGCGCAGGCCCGGCAGCUGCUGGAGAAGGAGUUUGGCAACCUCAUCUCCAUGGGCACUGACCGGAGGCUGGACGAGGACAGCGCCAAGUCUUUCAGCCGAUCCCCGUCGUGGCGGAAGAUGUUCCGGGAGAAGGACUUGCGCGGGGUCAGCCCGGACUCGGCCGAGAUGCUGCCGCCCAACUUCCGCUCGGCGGCAGCCGGAGCCCUGGGCUCGCCGGGCCUCCCCCUGCGCAAGCUGCAGCCCGACGGCCCUCCUUCUGGGAGUCCGCGGGCAGAUGGCGGAGUCUCCGUUCGGACUUACUCCUGUUAGUGCUCAGCCAGGUGGGCGCGCCAAGGAGAAGCCUCAGUAGGGGGAUAAAGGUCUGUCCCUUCAGGAGAAUGGACUCGCCCUCGGAAAGGACCGGGUUUGGAGAGACUAGAGGGGCUCUCUGGACUGAACCAUUUUGUACAGACCGGGAGGGAGAGGCGUCUCAGCCUCUGGCCAAUCCAAGUGAACUGGAUUUCGGGAAGGGAGGGGGCAGUUUGGAAUCUUCCUCCUCCCUUUUGCUACUUUGUAAUUUAUUUGUUUCCAGCGAGGGGGGAGGGGACGCAACCCCGCCUCCUCGGGGGCCGCAUGCUGGGGGCGGGGAGUGGCCCGACCCCGCUCCUUCCUUUCUACUCCCUCCCUCUCCCCUCAGACCCUGGGGCCCCAGUCCUCCCGGGCGCCCCACCGCGGGGGACUCGCUGCUACAGGCCCCGCCCCCUCUUCUCUUCCCCCUUCUCCUUCCUUGGGGGAAGGGGAAGGGGAAGGGGAAGGUGGAAGCCUCGUUUUCUCUGAUUCUCGAUUAUCCAGGCAGGCAUCUUUGGGGUGGGGUUGGGGGGCCCCUUUCCCCGUCCGUGUGUCUCGCGUUCCCUGGAUCUCGUCCUUCCCUCUCCCUAACCCUUUAUUCCGGGAAUUGGGAUGAAGGCAGAGAAGGAACCCAGGUGUCUCCUCCCUGCCCCGUUCCCGGUCUUCCCUGCGGGCUCCGUUUUUAUUUGUUUUCUUUUUUUUUCCGUUCUGUUCUGGGUUUUUUUUGUUUGUUUGUUUUGUUUUGUUUCGUUUCGUUCGUUUAUUAUUAUUAUUAUUUUUUUUGCAUGGGAGAAUCCGCCGGGGCAAGGGCUGGGCAAGGGGUGAACCCCCUCCCAACUGCCCCACCUCAGAUGUCAGUGAUCUUGGUGAAAGAAAACUGUUUCAAAGACCCCGCCUCCGCUCAUUUAUUUCCGGGAUCUGAGUUUGCUCCUUCCCCUCAAGGGUCCAGGCACCCCUUCCC
rnacentral:lncRNA from 1 species